rfam:Mouse DNA sequence from clone RP23-423N6 on chromosome 4
UAUUUGUGUAUGAUGGUCACAGUGUAAAGUUCCCACAGCUGUGACUUGAUUUUUAAAAAUGUC